rnacentral:misc_RNA from 1 species
GUAGGUGAACCUGCGGAAGGAUCAUUAACACGUGAUACUCACGUAUUAACCAAACGCGAAAUGUUGUUAAGCCUCCCCUGGUCCUGAGCUGCCUGCUUGGUAAUGGUAUGACUUCGGUCUAACUUGCGGGCUCAGCGCGCUCGACGCGCGGUUCAUUCCAGUGGGAGUAGAUGAAUGUCAACUGCUUAUUCAGCCUGUACCUUGGCUUGCAGUUGAUGUGAGCUUAUUAUUUACCCCUUAUUUAUAUUUA